rnacentral:rRNA from 1 species
GUGCCAGCAGCCGCGGUAAUACGAAGGGGGCUAGCGUUGCUCGGAAUCACUGGGCGUAAAGGGCGCGUAGGCGGCGUUUUAAGUCGGGGGUGAAAGCCUGUGGCUCAACCACAGAAUGGCCUUCGAUACUGGGACGCUUGAGUAUGGUAGAGGUUGGUGGAACUGCGAGUGUAGAGGUGAAAUUCGUAGAUAUUCGCAAGAACACCGGUGGCGAAGGCGGCCAACUGGACCAUUACUGACGCUGAGGCGCGAAAGCGUGGGGAGCAAACAGGAUUAGAUACCCUGGUAGUCC